rnacentral:rRNA from 1 species
UACGGAGGGUGCGAGCGUUGUCCGGAAUCACUGGGCGUAAAGGGCGCGUAGGCGGCCUGAUAAGUAGGGGGUGAAAUCCUGCGGCUUAACCGCAGGGCUGCCUUCUAAACUGUCAGGCUCGAGCACAGUAGAGGCAGGUGGAAUUCCCGGUGUAGCGGUGGAAUGCGUAGAGAUCGGGAUGAACAUCAGUGGCGAAGGCGGCCUGCUGGGCUGUUGCUGACGCUGAGGCGCGACAGCGUGGGGAGCAAACAGG